rnacentral:rRNA from 1 species
AACCUGCCCUGAAGCGGGGAUAACAUCUGGAAACAGGUGCUAAUACCGCAUAACAACGAAAACCACAUGGUUUCGUUUCAAAGAUGGUUUUGGCUAUCACUUCAGGAUGGGCCCGCGGUGCAUUAGCUAGUUGGUAAGGUAACGGCUUACCAAGGCGAUGAUGCAUAGCCGAGUUGAGAGACUGAUCGGCCACAAUGGAACUGAGACACGGUCCAUACUCCUACGGGAGGCAGCAGUG